GCAUCGAAGCGAGGGGCUGAGCUGCACCGACAUAGAUUCGCGUGCGCCCGACGGGCAGGGAUUCAAGCCAAGAGAGCGUGCAUAGGAGGAACCAUCGCACUUUUCUUGUAUAGUGGAUAUAAGGGAAGCAUACCAGCGCCUUCCCCCUUUCUAGCAAGCGGCGACAUGCAUCUGUCACCUGCGCAGACUGUGAAGCAUGCAGCUCAGCUCACUUCGAGAGCUUGUCGUGCUCUUCGACACGCAGCUGCAGCAGCUGACUCUUUUCUACCUCGCAGACGGAUUCUUUGCGCUACACACGGUAGCAGUCUCCAUCGCCAGCCUGGUGGUGUGCGCCUCUCUUGCUGUCGCCACCAGCAGCGGAUCUGGCGGCUCCGCCGCGCCGCUCACGUCGACCCCGCUGCUCUUUACGAGCUUUACAUCCUUUGCCUCCCUCUCGGUGCUCACGCUGAUGAUACUGACACUGCUCUACCGGGCGAUAGGUGGGGGUUUUGUCUACUCCCCGCGAGAGACCGCGUAUGUGGUGGACUGGAUCCUCGACACUGUCUCUCGGCCCGCUGUGGAGGACACGGUACACCUACUGCUGGCGCCGAACAAGCGCCGUGAGCGCGGCAUGUUUUUCAUGAGUCUGUGCCUCAUUGGCGAGGCCGGCAAGUUUCUUUCGUUUUGGUCGAUCUGCACAUUGGCGUCGAUGGCCUGGUGCGGGUGGAGCGUGCGGCGUGCGUGGCGUACGCACCGCUGUGCGGGAUAAUCUGUUCUUCACUUUUUUUUUCGCAUCCUGCGAUCCUGUCCCGCGUGACGCAGGAAGGGAGGGAGGAAGGGGGCCACACACCGCUCAGUGCGUCGCAUCGUCAGGGUCCCGCACGACCCACCAUUGCGGGGCGACGCCGAGCAGCUCCCCUAUGCCCCUGCCCAAUGCCGAGCCGCCUCUGGUGGAGGCUGAAUCAGGCACCCGUACGCCAUGGGGAGGACAGAGCGGCUCAUCGCUGCUGAUGCCGGCGGUGGGGCCCUGGACGGUGCUGCGGCGGAGCGACCUGAAAGGCCGCGUGUGGGCGGGCAGAGUUUGGGGCAGGGGGCGGUCGUCUCAGGUGACUGAGUCGGCGCAUUUGGUGUACCGGGCGUGUCUCUCGCGCUGCUUCGCACGACGCGGAUGGGGGGCCUGUGGCAGGGCCUAGCGUAGGCUGGCGUGUGACUUAUUCCGCACGGCGGAGAACGGACACGCGUUGGAGGCAAGCACGAAACAUGUGAUCAUGGAAGGAUCUCUCUAUUUUCUUGUGUGCAGGUUUGCUGGUGCGCGUCGGCCUUCUGCGUCGCGGCAGUGGCCGCUCUAGGGCACGGUUCCUCACUUUCUUUUUUAUUGUGCCUGUGCUUUUUUGCACACAUGCACAUCGCGUCUCUUCGCCUCCCUACUCUCCUCGAAGCCUUGCUUAGCCUCCGUGUGGACGCCAGCAGCGCAUCAACGGAUACAUGUAUGACAAGGGUAUCUCGGAAGCAUCGCUCUCUCUCUCUUUCUCGUUGCCGUUUAUUAUUAUUUUGUGCGCAUGGGUGCUCUCAACCUGUUUUGCACGCAUCUCUUCUCGGUUUUCGACCGCCUUUUUGCGUCUACCUGCAG
rnacentral:misc_RNA from 1 species